rnacentral:lncRNA from 1 species
AUUCAUCAACAUCUCAUGUCCAUCAGAAAGAUAGAAAAAAAAUCUUUAAUAUAAUAUUUAUUAGACCAAGAUCUAAGCUAGUCGAUUUGUGAACAUUUCACAGAAGUUCAAUACCCUAAACCCUAAGGUAAGAGAGCAUCGAAUUAUCCAGAUUCAUAUCUCAUAUGGAGUUUUGAUAAUCGAUUUAUUCAGAAUGUUCUUAAGCACAUAUCAAGUAGUCUCUAAAACAUAACCUUAGGCAGACUAGCAAACCCAUAAU